rnacentral:rRNA from 1 species
UAACUCCGGGCAAGCAGCCGCGGAAAGGCGAAGGGGGCAAGCGUUGUUGGGAAUUACUGGGCGUAAAGCGAGUGUAGGUGGUUGGCGUAGUCAGGGGGGAAAGCCUUGGGCUCAACUCGAGAAAUGCGCUUGAUACUGGGCAGCUAGAGGACCGGGGGGGAUAGGGGAAUUCCCAGUGGAGUGGUGAAAUACGUAGAGAUUGGGAAGAACACCAGUGGCGAAGGCGGCUAUCUGGACGGUUUCUGACACUAAGACUCGAAAGCGUGGGGAGCAAACAGGAUUAGAAACCCCAGUAGUCCAA